rnacentral:rRNA from 1 species
GAUGAACGCUGGCGGCGUGCCUAAUACAUGCAAGUCGAGCGAAUGGAUUAAGAGCUUGCUCUUAUGAAGUUAGCGGCGGACGGGUGAGUAACACGUGGGUAACCUGCCCAUAAGACUGGGAUAACUCCGGGAGACCGGGGCUAAUACCGGAUAACAUUUUGAACCGCAUGGUUCGAAAUUGAAAGGCGGCUUCGGCUGUCACUUAUGGAUGGACCCGCGUCGCAUUAGCUAGUUGGUGAGGUAAAGGCUCACCAAGGCAACGAUGCGUAGCCGACCUGAGAGGGUGAUCGGCCGCACUGGGACUGAGACACGGCCCAGACUCCUACGGGAGGCAGCAGUAGGGAAUCUUCCGCAAUGGACGAAAGUCUGACGGAGCAACGCCGCGUGAGUGAUGAAGGCUUUCGGGUCGUAAAACUCUGUUGUUAGGGAAGAACAAGUGCUAGUUGAAUAAGCUGGCACCUUGACGGUACCUAACCAGAAAGCCACGGCUAACUACGUGCCAGCCGCCGCCGUAA